GACGUAGGGCGCGAGCGUUGUCCGGAAUUAUUGGGCGUAAAGAGCUCGUAGGCGGUUUGUUGCGUCGGCUGUGAAAUCCCGAGGCUCAACCCCGGGUCUGCAGUCGAUACGAGCAAACUAGAGUGUUGCAGGGGAGACUGGAAUUCCUGGUGUAGCGGUGAAAUGCGCAGAUAUCAGGAGGAACACCGGUGGCGAAGGCGGGUCUCUGGGCAACAACUGACGCUGAGGAGCGAAAGCGUGGGGAGCGAACAGG
rnacentral:rRNA from 1 species